AACGCACAUUGCGCCCUUUGGUAUUCCGAGGGGCACGCCUGUUCGAGCGUCAUUUAAACCAUCAAGCCCUGCUUGGUCUUGGACGCGGUCGAGUGACCCGUCCGUAACCCGUUGGCGGUGCAGUCCGGCUUCAAGCGUAGCAAGAAUUUCGCUUCAGGAGCCCGCGGCGGCGUCUGCCAGGAAACACCACCCAAAGUUUGACCUCGGAUCAGGUGAGGAUACCCGCUGAACUUAA
rnacentral:misc_RNA from 1 species